rnacentral:rRNA from 1 species
GAUGAACGCUGGCUACAGGCUUAACACAUGCAAGUCGAGGGGAAACGGCAUUGGGUGCUUGCACCGAAUGGACGUCGACCGGCGCACGGGUGAGUAACGCGUAUCCAACCUUCCCGUUACUGCGGGAUAACCUGCCGAAAGGCAGACUAAUACCGCAUGUUCUUCGAUGACGGCAUCAGAUUCGAAGUAAAGAUCCGUCGGUAACGGAGGGGGAUGCGUCUGAUUAGCUUGUUGGCGGGGCGACGGCCCACCAAGGCGACGAUCAGUAGGGGUUCUGAGAGGAAGGUCCCCCACAUUGGAACUGAGACACGGUCCAAACCCUACGGGAGGCAGCAGUGAGGAAUAUUGGUCAAUGGGCGGAAGCCUGAACCAGCCAAGUAGCGUGCAGGAUGACGGCCCUACGGGUUGUAAACUGCUUUUAUGCGGGGAUAAAGUGAGGGACG